rnacentral:lncRNA from 1 species
AGUUGUUCAUUCUCAGCUUUCUGAUUGUAGCUGAAAUAUGACCCCACCCGCUUCACACUCUUGCUUUCGUGGAGAAGUCCACCACUAGGCUUCCCUACCAUGACAAAACCACAUCCUGAACUGUGAAAAGAAUAAGGCAUAUUGUACAGUCUCUUUGUAAACUGUGAAGUACUGUCAGGGUGCUGGAAUCUCUCAUUUCUGCAGAGAGAUGACUAUAUCCAUCGGGAAGGAUUUCCCACUAGGAGCAGAAGACCCGAGAUUAGUGUAGGUGAUACAAGUUAGAGGUUUUCCAAUUUCUGGGAGUUGUCAUGGUGUUGGUCCAUCAUGCCUGCAGUCCCAGGCAAGAAGACAGAGAAAGUGUUGGGGGUGUUUGGUCAUGCUGAAGGAUCUGAGUCUAUCAUGGCUGCAAAGAGUCGUGGCUGUAGGAGCUGGAACCUGACUCACACCUUCACAUGAAAGAAUGAAACAGAGAGCAAACAGGAAGCAAGGCAAGACUAUAAAGAGACAAAGUCCACCCCCAGUGACAUUAAGGUCUUCCACCAAGGUUCCUUCCAUCAACAAGAUUCCACAACCUCCCCCCAUAGGGGACCAAGUGUUCUGAGCCAAUGGAGGACCCUCUCAUUUCAAACUAACACAAAGUGUUAUUUGGACACUUAAUCCAUCUGCUCUCUGAAUGUUGGCUCCUGUUCCCUGGACUCCACCCAUUUCCCUGACUGACAGGCAGAAAUUUGGGACUUUGAACUCAGGGGAUGGAUUUCUAUCUUGGAGCUGUCAGUUUCCUGCUCUGUGGAUGAAUUGUGCCAAAACCCUAGCCUUGUGUAGCUGAUAUGAGAAAGGAUGUCCAGCCAAUAUUUAACACCACAUCUGGCAGACACCAGACUAAUGAAUACCUAAGUUCCCUUGACUUUCUGUCUUGUGUCAGCUUCCCCCCUGCUCCCCGUGCCUUUCUUUUGAGCAGUGGUGAGUCUCCUCUCUUGGGCUUCAUCUUGUAUAAUGUGAAGUUUUGGCAAGGCCCUUCAUAUUUCUCCCUUGCCCAGGGGAGGCUUGCUGAGGGAACACAAAUGACUUUUCUUCAGCACCUGUAUAUACAAUGUCUGAAACUGCAAUAAAAGAGAGUUGGCAAGAGACCCAAA